GGCUUCCCAAGUUCCCCACCACCCUCCAACAAAGACUUGAUGAAAAAAGUGAGGUCUUCAUUGCUUCAGCUUUUAGAAAUAAAUGGAGAUCCCAGAUUGUCCAGGUUCUUUUUGAUGAUAUAUGUAGUUACACAUGGUAUCCCUCAAGCAAAAUCUAUAAUGACACUUGUUCUGCACUUGCAAAGUACAGUUUCCUCCGGGAUCGCACAGGGAAAUGCUAUGAAUCAUGGCAUCAGAUGCUAAGAAAUAAAUUUAAAAAGGAGCGAAUCCCCCUGGUGUUCAUCCCUGACAUCCAACAAAAACAGAAAAACUCAAGGAAAACUCCUGCACAAACAGUAUAAAUGGUAAUUAGUAAGAAA